AACCGAUGAACGGCCUCAAUCAAGGAUAGUGACCGAUCAAUGUCAGACAUAAAAACCACCGCAUCAAAUAAUCCUAGUUCUUUUUGUACAUUAUCACUGCCAAAUCCAUAUUUAAGAGCUUUAAAUAAAAAGAAAUCAGAACCGUUGGCAGGUGGAAGCGGGAAGUUACUCGUCUCCCCUCUUUCCCGCGCUCCAUUAGGGCUUCGUAUAUACACUUUCUCUGUAUAUCUGUAUCUAUAUCUAUGUCCAUGAAUUUGUGCAUACAUCUCUCUCCAACAAGGAGACCUUCGGAGCUCGUCAAUCUAACGUGGCAAUGUCAAGAAGGAGAGCUACUCAGCCAAAUUAUCUCUUUAUCCUGUAAACCCUGAACGGCCAUUUCUGCCUUCAAAUACACUAAGUAAUCAUGCUUUGUAUUUCAUGAAUAAUUUUCCUUUUUGGUGUUGAGCUGAAUGUGCUGCAAGAUUUGGAUCUUCUUAAUUGUUGUCCACGGGGCCUCUCUUGUAUUAGCGGAAUGCCAUAUGUGUAAAAGGGUUGCACCCUUCUUCUUGAUUCGUUAAUGAUGUCUGUUGAUACAAAUGUUAUUUUACUAGGAAGUCAUCUUGCAACCACUUGGAGACAAAGGAAUUGCAAUAAUUGGUGGUGACACAAUUAGGGGCUUUACGACUUCUGACCAGAUGCCAUCUUCUUAGCUUUAAAUUUUUAGCACUCUGAUUGUCUAGAAUCCUUGGAAGCCCGGGUGUUGUUAUGGUUGCUAGUACAGUUAUGCUGAUACAGCAAAACUUUUAUAAUAAUUAAAAAAAAUAGUAGAAUA